AUGCACGCUGGCGGCGUGCCUAAUACAUGCAAGUCGAGCGAACGGACGAGAAGCUUGCUUCUCUGAUGUUAGCGGCGGACGGGUGAGUAACACGUGGAUAACCUACCUAUAAGACUGGGAUAACUUCGGGGAACCGGAGCUAAUACCGGAUAAUAUUUUGAACCGCAUGGUUCAAAAGUGAAAGACGGUCUUGCUGUCACUUAUAGAUGGAUCCGCGCUGCAUUAGCUAGUUGGUAAGGUAACGGCUUACCAAGGCAACGAUGCAUAGCCGACCUGAGAGGGUGAUCGGCCACACUGGAACUGAGACACGGUCCAGACUCCUACGGGAGGCAGCAGUAGGGAAUCUUCCGCAAUGGGCGAAAGCCUGACGGAGCAACGCCGCGUGAGUGAUGAAGGUCUUCGGAUCGUAAAACUCUGUUAUUAGGGAAGAACAUAUGUGUAAGUAACUGUGCACAUCUUGACGGUACCUAAUCAGAAAGCCACGGCUAACUACGUG
rnacentral:rRNA from 1 species